GGUUCCGUAGUGUAGUGGUUAUCACGUUCGCUUCACACGCGAGAGGUCUCCGGUUCGAUCCCGGACCGAACCA
rnacentral:tRNA from 1 species